rnacentral:rRNA from 1 species
UACAGAGGGUGCGAGCGUUGUUCGGAAUUACUGGGCGUAAAGUGUGCGCAGGCGGCCGAGCAAGUCGAGUGUGAAAGCCCCGGGCUUAACUUGGGAAUUGCGCUCGAAACUACUUGGCUGGAGUGUGGCAGAGGAAGGUGGAAUUCCACGUGUAGCGGUGAAAUGCGUAGAGAUGUGGAGGAACACCAAUGGCGAAGGCAGCCUUCUGGGCCAACACUGACGCUCAUGCACGAAAGCGUGGGGAGCAAACAGG